rnacentral:rRNA from 1 species
CCAUGGCGCGUUGUAGACUAAAGGGGCGGCAUGUUGCGUGGGCCAGGUAUAAAUCCGUUGGAAAACGGUAUCAUGGAGGGUGAGAAUCCCGUCUUUGACCUGGUGAAUAACCCAUGCAUGUACGUUGCGCUUCCGACGAGUCGGGUUGUUUGGGAAUGCAGCCCAAAAUGGGUGGUAAAUUUCAUCUAAGGCUAAAUACAGGCACGAGACCGAUAGCGAACAAGUACCAUGAGGGAAAGGUGAAAAGAACUUUGAAAAGAGAGUCAAAAAGUACGUGAAACCGUUAAAGGGGAAACGAAUGGGGCUAGCACAAGUAUUUUGCCGGCGGUUGCAAUCAGCCGUCGGGGCAGUGGAGGGCGGCUGUGCCUGGCGACAGGAGCGAAUCCUGCGGGCAGAGGCAYACGUUUCUUAUAUCCAUUGCGCCGGCGGUGCACUUGCGGCGCCACCAGGCAGGCCAGCAUCGGUUUAGCCUGGCACACAAAGGCAGCGGGAAGGUAGUUGCGGCGCCUAGGUGUCGUGAUGUUAUAACGCGCGGUUUUUAUCAUGUGCCGGGAAAGACUGAGGAGAAGCAGCGCGCACAAAUUUCGGAGAGCCACCGCUCUGGCUGCGGGCUUGGAAGGACUGUGCCCCGCACGCACCCUCUCACGAGGAGUGCGGACGUGCAGUCGUCCAGGCCGCCAAUCUGGGGGCAUGGGAGUUCUCUUUUGGGGAGGGGGAUAGCAAUAUCUCUUUGCCCAGGRGGGGGGGCCCCGGGCCACGGAGAUCUGCAGCUUGACACGGGGUGUACCCAGACCACGCGCUUGUGAUGCUGGCGGAAAAUGGCGUCAUCCGACCCGUCUUGAAACACGGACCAAGGAGUCUAACAUAUGCGCGAGUCUUUGGGUGGGAAGCCCGCAGGCGAAAUGAAAGUGAAGGCACGCAUGGCGUGGCGAGGUGAGAGGCGAGGCGCGCGGGUCAAACCGCGGGGCGAGCCGCAUCAUCGACCGAUCCGGAUGGUUUCUAUCCUGAAAGAUUUGAGUAAGAGCGUAUCUGUUGGGACCCGAAAGAUGGUGAACUAUGCCUGAACAGGGUGAAGUCUGAGGAAACUCAGAUGGAAGCUCGUAGCGAUUCUGACGUGCAAAUCGAUCGUCUGAUUUGGGUAUAGGGGCGAAAGACUAAUCGAACUAUCUAGUAGYUGGUUCCCUCCGAAGUUUCCCUCAGGAUAGUUGGAACUAACGUAACGCAGUUUUAUCAGGUAAAGCGAAUGAUUAGAGGGCUUGGGGUUGAAAUAACCUCAACCUAUUCUCAAACUUUAAAUAGGUAAGAAGCCUGGCUUGCUUAAGUGAAGCCAGGCAUCACUGAAUGCAAGUUCCAAGUGGGCCAUUUUUGGUAAGCAGAACUGGCGAUGCGGGAUGAACCGAACGCAAAGUUAAAGUGCCAAAGUUCACGCUCACCUAGAACCCAGAAAAGGUGUUGGCUGAUGAAGACAGCAGGACGGUGGCCAUGGAAGUCGGAACCCGCUAAGGAGUGUGUAACAACUCACCUGCCGAAUCAGCCAGCCCUGAAAAUGGAUGGCGCUCAAGCGUGACACUUAUACUUUGCCGUUGCCCUUAAGGUUCGCGAACAUAUGUCGAAAGACGCACAGGGCAACGAGUAGGAGGGCGUGGAGGUCGUGAAGCAGCUUAGGGCGUGAGCCUGAGUGAA